rnacentral:rRNA from 1 species
GAGGGUUCGGCCCUCGGCUGACGGCUCAGUAACACGCGGAUAAUCUGCCCUUAGGUGGAGGAUAAUCUCGGGAAACUGAGAAUAAUAUUCCAUAGAUUUAGGACGCUGGAAUGCACUUAAAUUAAAAGCUUCGGCGCCUAAGGAUGAGUCUGCGGACUAUCAGGUUGUAGUCAGGGUAACGACCUGACUAGCCUACGACGGAUACGGGUUGUGAGAGCAAUAACCCGGAGAUGAUAUCUGAGACACGAUAUCAGGCCCUACGGGGCGCAGCAGGCGCGAAAACUUCGCAAUGUGCGAAAGCACGACGAGGGAAUCCCAAGUGCUGGCUCGUUAGAGUCAGCUGUUUUUAUGUCUAAAAAGCAUAGAGAGUAAGGGCUGGGUAAGACGGGUGCCAGCCGCCGCGGUAAUACCUGCAGCUCUAGUGGUGGCCGCUAUUAUUGGGCCUAAAACGUCCGUAGCCUGUUUAUUAAAUGCCUAGGUAAAUUGUGUGGCUUAACCAUACGAAUUCUGGGUAGACUGG